rnacentral:pre_miRNA from 1 species
CUCACACCUAUGUGUAUAAGACCUCAAAGGAUUAUUAUUAAAUUUGACACAGAUCUCUAGAAAAGUUAUCACAUGGUGUGAGACUUGAUUUUUCUAGAGAUUUGUGUCAAAUUUAAUGGUAAUCCUUUGUGGUCCUACACACAUGGGUGUGAG